GACAAAACGAGGAGAUGAGAGAGAGAACGAGAGAAGAGAGAAAGAAGGAGGAGGUGGCGGCAGGGAAGAGUGACGGCGGAGAGAUGCUCUGUCGGCGUCGGGCUCCAUCAUCGUCGUCGAGCUUUUAAUUUGGUGGUGAGGGGCUCUACUCUUCCUCCUCGCUCGAUCUGUCCUCUCCUCAGCCACAGCUGCGACGACGACGGCGACGGCAGUAGCUCCCGUGCCGUCGCUUCUUCCUCCUCUUUCCUUCAACUGUGACGGCAACGGACGGCAGCAACACCACCCCUCUUCUCUGAGUUUUUCUCUUCUCUGAGUUUCCCUCUUCUCUCUUUUUUCUCUCUUCUGUCUUCUCUUUUUUCUGCGUUCUCUCUCUCGAGUUUGAAGGAUUGCUGUUAUUGUUGAUGAAUAUAUGAUUGUGUGUUGUUUUAUUAUUUUGGAAUUUUAGGUGAGUGGGUGUUUGUCAUACUCAGACAAGAUAUCGGAUGGAUUUUACAACAUACUAGGGAUGAAUCUGUACCUAUGGGUGAUAUGCAAUAAGGUGGAGGAAGUGAAAAAUAUACCUACUUUGAUGGCGCUGAAGGCAAUUGAACCCGACGAUUCAAUUGUGGAGUACAUAUUCGGUGGAGCAAGGAGAUCUGCACAAGCGGUGGAAGAUGAUCAGUAGGAGGUUGAGUUAUUUUCACAAGUGUGUUGUUUUUCCCAUAGGCAGCUUAUUUACUGGGCUUUGUAGGCAUAGGGUCAUUCUCUUCAAGGUCAAGAAUUUAUUAUGCUUCCUCAUUAGUUGUUUCCUCUUUG